AGUGAACGCUGGCGGUAGGCCUAACACAUGCAAGUCGAACGGCAGCACAGUAAGAGCUUGCUCUUACGGGUGGCGAGUGGCGGACGGGUGAGGAAUACAUCGGAAUCUACUUUUUCGUGGGGGAUAACGUAGGGAAACUUACGCUAAUACCGCAUACGACCUACGGGUGAAAGCAGGGGAUCUUCGGACCUUGCGCGAUUGAAUGAGCCGAUGUCGGAUUAGCUAGUUGGCGGGGUAAAGGCCCACCAAGGCGACGAUCCGUAGCUGGUCUGAGAGGAUGAUCAGCCACACUGGGACUGAGACACGGGCCAGACUCCUACGGGAGGCAGCAGUGGGGAAUAUUGGACAAUGGGCGCAAGCCUGAUCCAGCCAUACCGCGUGGGUGAAGAAGGCCUUCGGGUUGUAAAGCCCGUUUGUUGGGAAAGAAAAGCAGCAGGUUAAUACCCCGCUGUUCUGACGGUACCCAAAGAAUAAGCACCGGCUAACUUCGUGC
rnacentral:rRNA from 1 species